GAUAAUGACAUAUUUUGCUAUGAUUUCAGUAGUGAAUUGAGAGAAAAUGUCAACUCUUUCUUAGCUUUAUACCUUCUUUAUGCCUCAAUUUGUUAAGUUUCUAAGUAGCUACAUCUUUAGUUGAAUUCAUUUAAAUUGUUUCACUAAUCCCCACUUUUUGGUUGUUAGAUCAUGUACAUGAAGCUUGUUGGCCAAACCGACGAAUGGAAGAACCACAGAAGCAAGAAUGAAUGUAAAAGAGGAAAUAUUGAGCAAAGAGUGUUGCUGCCGCUGGGGUGCAGCUGGGGUGCAGCCGAGCCCCAUUCUCCUCUGGAAUGCUGUAGCUGGGG
rnacentral:lncRNA from 1 species